rnacentral:rRNA from 1 species
GCUGCAGCUAACGCAUUAAGCACUCCGCCUGGGGAGUACGACCGCAAGGUUGAAACUCAAAGGAAUUGACGGGGGCCCGCACAAGCGGUGGAGCAUGUGGUUUAAUUCGAAGCAACGCGAAGAACCUUACCAGGUCUUGACAUCCUUUGACCACUCUAGAGAUAGAGCUUUCCCUUCGGGGACAAAGUGACAGGUGGUGCAUGGUUGUCGUCAGCUCGUGUCGUGAGAUGUUGGGUUAAGUCCCGCAACGAGCGCAACCCUUAUUGUUAGUUGCCAUCAUUUGGUUGGGCACUCUAGCGAGACUGCCGGUGACAAACCGGAGGAAGGGGGGGAUGACGUCAAAUCAUCAUGCCCCUUAUGACCUGGGCUACACACGUGCUACAAUGGGGAAGUACAACGAGUUGCGAAGCCGCGAGGGUAAGCUUAAUCUCUUAAAGCUUCUCUCAGUUCGGAUUGUAGGCUGCAACUCGCCCUACAUGAAGCCGGAAUCGCUAGUAAUCGCGGAUCAGCACGGCCGCGGUGAAUACGUUUCCCGGGCCUUUGUACACACCGCCCCGUCACACCACGAGGAGUUGUGUAACCACCCGAAAGUCGGUGAGGUAACCUUUUGGAGCCAGCCGCCUAAGGUGGGGAUAGAUGAUUGGGGGUGAAGUCGUAACAAGGUAAACCCGAAAGGGCGCCCUCUUUUUGGGUAAGUAAAGGACGUGGAAGAUAAGAAAGGGGGGGCAACCAACAUGUAAUACCCCCCCCUUGUUAUCCCCCGUCCGCCAACCAUGGCAACGAAAUUGUAGGGUUCCUU